GAUGAACGCUGGCGGCGUGCCUAAUACGUGCAAGUCGAGCGAACAGACGAGGAGCUUGCUCCUCUGACGUUAGCGGCGGACGGGUGAGUAACAUGUGGAUAACCUACCUAUAAGACUGGGAUAACUUUGGGAAACCGGAGCUAAUACCGGAUAAUAUAUUGAACCGCAUGGUUCAAUAGUGAAAGACGGUUUUGCUGUCACUUAUAGAUGGAUCCGCGCCGCAUUAGCUAGUUGGUUAGGUAACGGCUUACCAAGGCAACGAUGCGUAGCCGACCUGAGAGCGUGAUCGGCCACUAUGGAACUGUGACACGGUCCAGACUCCUACGGGAGGCAGCAGUAGGUAAUCUUCCGCAAUGGGCGAAAGCCUGACGGAGCAACGCCGCGUGAGUGAUGAAGGUCUUCGGAUCGUAAAACUCUGUUAUUAGGGAAGAACAAAUGUGUAAGUAACUAUGCACGUCUUGACGGUACCUAAUCAGAAAGCCACGGCUAACUACGUG
rnacentral:rRNA from 1 species